AACUUUUGGCAACGGAUCUUUUGGCUCUCGCAUCGAUGAAGAACGCAGCGAAAUGCGAUAAGUAAUGUGAAUUGCAGAAUUCAGUGAAGCAUCGAAUCUUUGAACGCACCUUGCGCCCCUUGGUAUUCCGAGGAGCAUGCCUGUUUGAGUGUCAUUCAACUUCUCAACCACAUCAAGAAUGUGGCUUGGACGUGGGGGUUGUUUGCAGGCUUUUUGUUCUACAGAAGGUCGGCUCCCCUGAAAUGGAUUAGUGGUAUCUGGGCUACUGCUAUAGGUGUGAUAAAUUAUCUAUGCCUUUGGUAUGCUGCAUGAACAGAUUGCACUGCUUAUAAUGAAAAGAUUGAAUCUGACGAAUCUGACCUCAAAUCAGGUAGGACUACCCGCUGAACUUAAGCAUAUCAAUAAGCGGAGGCU
rnacentral:misc_RNA from 1 species